rnacentral:rRNA from 1 species
UACGAAGGGGCUAGCGUUGCUCGGAAUGACUGGGCGUAAAGGGCGCGUAGGCGGAUGGCACAGUCAGAUGUGAAAUUCCCGGGCUUAACCUGGGGGCUGCAUUUGAUACGUGUGAUCUAGAGUGAGGAAGAGGGUCGUGGAAUUCCCAGUGUAGAGGUGAAAUUCGUAGAUAUCGAGAGGAACACCGGCGGCGAAGGCGGCCAACUGGACGAACACUGACGCUGAGACACGAAAGCGUGGGGAGCAAACAGG